UGUACAACAGCAUCAGUGAGUUUAUGUGUUUACUAAUGCGGAUGAGUAUUAGUAAGUAAUUUGGAAACCGCAAUACCAACUUCUAGACAAAAGCGGAAGUUACUCACUAUGCUGGUGCACAGAGUCUAUUCUGGCCAAGUACCAAAGAACGUAUUUGUUAAGAACGGACUGGCUAUCGGACCUCGAAAUCCACUCAUCAGUACCGUAUUCCUUCAAAAUUGCACGCAUAUUUUCUCAAAGAAGUUACAAGUGGAUUUCAAUGAAAUGCAAACAUGACAAAUUUUUUCCGAACCAUCAUGACAGAUUGUAUUACAUUACAAUUUUAGUACAAACAUUCACCCGCCAAUGUAGCCUUCUGCAUUUUGUCCCCCCACUUUUAAUCAACACAACUCUUAUAAGAAAAACUCAGUCUAGAACGUUGCAGUGGCAGUACGGUAAGCAAUUGCGUAAUACGAAUCAGACUGGCUUUAGGACCACACGCAGGCACUUUGCUUUGAGGUAGUUGCUGGUCUGGUUAUGGUAGUAGAGUAGAGGCUACCGUUGCUACUAGCAACUGAGAUCUCUGUCUCAUGAAAGUUUGGUAACCUUGCAGACAUUACCUCUAGCUAAUUACCUCCCGUAACGUAUGAAUGAGGUAGAGUAUUUUUCUAAAACCAGUAAGGUGUAGCUAAGCUAACGUUAUAUAUGAAUGAUAUUAAUAGUUGCAAAAUAUAUAUUAGCUUGCCAGCUAACGUUAUUUCGCCAGCUAGCAAACAGUCCAACUCACUCACGGCUAGCACCGUAUGACACCACCCUAGAAAAGACUGAAGUUAGACAAACGGACGUUUUUUUAUGCAAAGACAAAGAUCAGAUGGUGACCGUGAGAAUGCCAGGGAGAAAAGGUCCACCGUGGAGCUGAGGUGAAAUAUUGUCUUUAAAGGAUCAGCUUUCCAUGCGUAUAUACCGACUCACAAUUUGGACAUGUAGGACAGCUUGUAGCCUGACCUGGCGUCACCAUCAAACCUACGCCCCUGGAUUAACUGCAUGAGCUUGGAGCCUAUGCCUCUUGUGUGUGCCUCCCAGCCACCAAAGGAAGAACUACUCGAUGAUGCCCAAUCCUCCUCUUGGGUCAAAACUGAUGGGCCAAGAACACAAGAGUUAUCCACAGGCAGAGCAUUUGUACAAGGAAACAUUCGGUGAUGUCACGGAAUAAGCCUAAUGUUAAACCAUUUCUGUAUUUACUUCCUACCAUUUAAACUACAGAAACUCAUGCCAUUAAUCAAUCCAAGACAUCCUGUUUCUAAGACAAUCCUUGUGCUUAACAAGAUUGAAGUUGUGUCUACAAACUGCUGAACUACAGGUACCAACCUCUGGCAAAUGCCGUCUCCUCCACUCCAUUGUCAUCAUCUUCUGAGCCUGAUGAGGAGGGUACGUCGUCUUCUCUUAGUGGGGGGAUGACUCCAUCGGCCUCCACCACAGCACUCUUCAGUAGUGCAGAGUCGAACUUCACCGUGUAAAACUCACUGUCAAUGUCUAGAUAGACACUUUCUGGUUAGUAGAACACGUAUCAAAUUAAAAGCUUUAACCUGU